AUUUCUUUAGUAUAUCGUACAAAUGCCCUCCAAGCAUUAAGUCCCCGCAGGGAAGAAAUA
rnacentral:tRNA from 1 species